CAGUUGGUUCUUCUGCAAGGCUGUGAUACCUGCAAAGAUAUGUAAAAUCUAAUUUUUUUUUCUUUUGCUACAGUCUUUAGACUAAGCAUGCAAGACAUACGACUAAGUGCAACUGAGUGAAAUGACUAAUCUACCAGAUUUUUAUCCUCUUUUGAAUACCAAACUAACCAGCAACCACUCCGUUCAGAAGCUCAGGGCCCCCUUCCCAUGACCCUGUCUGGCUACUGCCUGCACAUCAUGACGCUGCC
rnacentral:lncRNA from 1 species